UACGAAGGGGGCUAGCGUUGUUCGGAAUUACUGGGCGUAAAGCGCACGUAGGCGGAUACUUAAGUCAGGGGUGAAAUCCCGGGGCUCAACCCCGGAACUGUCUUUGAUACUGGGUAUCUCGAGUCCGGAAGAGGUGAGUGGAAUUCCGAGUGUAGAGGUGAAAUUCGUAGAUAUUCGGAGGAACACCAGUGGCGAAGGCGGCUCACUGGUCCGGUACUGACGCUGAGGUGCGAAAGCGUGGGGAGCAAACAGG
rnacentral:rRNA from 1 species